CUUCUUCGACAGAGGAUGCUUCCUGUUCCGAUGGAACCAUUGUCGUAACGCGAUCUCUUCGACUCCUCUGUACACGUUCUCUGCCGACGAAAUGCUUUCUCUUCCUCUUAACGCAUUUUCCAGUCUCCUUUACAAAGAGGUCAUCGAGGUUAUCUCUCUCAUUUGCCUCUUGAUUUUUUUCCUUCGUUUAACUCGGGAAAGAACCCUAGAGUUUGGGCCACUGUAAAAAUUAAGUUGCCUUCACCGAUGAUGGGAGUCCUUUCGAGUACCAUUAUUACCGGCUAAUGUCUGGUGAAAGCCUCUGUUUGUGUCAAUUCGCUUCCAGCUCUUCUCAUUCGCUUGGACUACCGACAACGUUACGUAACUUUCCACAAUUUCACAUUCAAUUAAUCUAUCUGUUCUUCAAGAUGGUGAAUCUGCAGCUAUAUAUAGGUUAGUUUCCAUCCGUCAAAAUAAAUGUUUUCAUACUCACAAUCAUAUCAAGCAAAUAAACUUUUGCAGAGCAGAAUGAAGUCGUUGUGGCACCACCGUUGAAGUUUUUUUUUCUGCGAUUUGGGAGGUCAGAAAUAUGAAGAGAGGAGGCAAGCUUCGACGCUCAAGUAUCUCCAUAUUUUUAGAAAAAUCACACUUUAAUGUUUCUUGCAGAAUCUAUCUUUACAAUUUUUUUAUUAUUAAACAUCUCAUUAUAUCGUUUUUCAGGUGAUCCUUAUCCAACGUCCACUUGAACAACUUCAAACACCUUUUGAAGGCCGGUUUCGGUGUACAGCAUGAGCGGGUUCGAAGUGGCGCGGAGUAACCUCAACUUCAAACUGUAAGACUCUACUAUGUCUGUGACUCUCGAUGUUUCCUUCCACAAAAAAAUUGGAAAGCUUACAUGGUGACCCUAAGGUUGUUGUCGCAAUGAGCAUAAACCCAAAGAUUGUUGGAGGUGGUCCCGUUUCUUUUUAUCUUACUCUAUUUAGUUGAUAAUUUACUUUGUUAAUUUCGUCUAACAUUGAAUCCAUGAGUUAAGACCGCUUCUAUUAUUCCAAGCUAACUCCCUCUCACUUGCAGGCCGUCUGUUCUUAAACGAACGUCCGUAAUGCUUUUUCACGUUGACAAUAAAACGGAUGCAGAGAGAAGUUUUAUUUGGACAC
rnacentral:lncRNA from 1 species